GACGAACGCUGGCGGCGUGCUUAACACAUGCGAGUCGAACGGAAAGGCCCUGCUUUUGUGGGUUGCUCGAGUGGCGAACGGGUGAGUAACACGUGAGUAACCUGCCCUUGACUUUGGGAUAACUUCAGGAAACUGGGGCUAAUACCGGAUAGGAGCUCCUGCUGCAUGGUGUGGGUUGGAAAGUUUCGGCGGUUGGGGAUGGACUCGCGGCUUAUCAGCUUGUUGGUGGGGUAGUGGCUUACCAAGGCUUUGACGGGUAGCCGGCCUGAGAGGGUGACCGGACGAAUUGGGAAUGAGAUAGGGCCAGAAGUCCGAAGGGAGGCAGAAGGGGGGAAAAUUGCACAAUGGGAGGAAGCCUGAGGCAGGAAGGCCGCGGGAGGGAUAAAGGCUUUCGGGUGGUAAAAAGAUUUGGCCUGUGAAGAGGCGAGAGUGAGGGUAAUGGGAAAAGAAGAACCGGCUAAAAACGUG
rnacentral:rRNA from 1 species